rnacentral:rRNA from 1 species
AUCUUUGGAUACAGUGGCGAACGGGUGAGUAACACGUAGGGAACCUGGCCAUACCUGGGGGAUAAUUUCUGGAAACGGAAACUAAUACCGCAUGGGUUUUGCUUAAGCCUUUAAGCGAAAUGAAAGAAGCGCGAGACGCUUCGGGGAUGGAUGGUCCCGCGCUGCAUUAGCUGGCUGGUGAGGCAACGGCUCACCAGGGCGAUGAUGCAUAGCCGGCCUGAGAGGGCGGACGGCCACACUGGGACUGAGACACGGCCCAGACUCCUGCGGGAGGCAGCAGUAGGGAAUUUUCGUCAAUGGGGGCAACCCUGAACGAGCAAUGCCGCGUGAGCGAAGAAGGUCUUCGGAUUGUAAAGCUCUGUUGCCGGGGAAAAAGGAAGGAAAGAGGAAAUGCUUUUCUUUGGAUGGUACCCGGCCAGAAAGUCACGGCUAACUACGUGCCAGCAGCCGCGGUAAUACGUAGGUGGCAAGCGUUAUCCGGAAUGAUUGGGCGUAAAGGGUGAGCAGGCGGUUCUUCAAGUCAUGAGUGAAAGGCAGAAGCUUAACUUCUGUUGGCUGAUGAGACUGGAGAACUUGAGUACAGGAGAGGGCGGCGGAACUCCAUGUGUAGCGGUAAAAUGCGUAGAGAUAUGGAAGAACACCAGUGGCGAAGGCGGCCGCCUGGACUGAAACUGACGCUCANGCACGAAAGCGUGGGGAGCAAAUAGGNUUAGAUACCCUAGUAGUCCACGCCGUAAACGAUGAGGAGCAGGUGUCGCAAUGAAAUGCGGUGCCGAAGCCAACGCAAUGACUCCUCCGCCU